AGUACUGUAGUUAAUUUAUAACAUUAAAUUGCAAAUUUAAAAUUGUACCAAUACCAUUACUU
rnacentral:tRNA from 1 species